UACGUAGGCAGCAAGCGUUGUUCGGAGUUACUGGGCGUAAAGGGUGUGUAGGCGGUUGGAUAAGUGUGGUGUGAAAUCUCCCGGCUCAACUGGGAGGGUGCGCCGAAUACUGAAUGACUAGAGUGCGGGAGAGGAUAGUGGAAUUCCUGGUGUAGCGGUGAAAUGCGUAGAUAUCAGGAGGAACACCUGCGGUGUAGACGGCUUUCUGGACCAUUGCUGACGCUGAGACACGAAAGCGUGGGUAGCAAACAGG
rnacentral:rRNA from 1 species